UCCAGGGUAGCCUAGUGGACAUGGCAUCUGCCAGGUAAGAGGAACACUGUGGGUUCGCUUCCCAUCCCUGGAC
rnacentral:tRNA from 1 species